UGGCGGACGGGUGAGUAACGCGUGGGGUAACCUGCCUCACACAGGGGGAUAACAGUUGGAAACGACCGCUAAUACCGCAUAACCCGCUGGUAUCGCAUGAUACUGACGGAAAAGAUUUAUCGGUGUGAGAUGGACCCGCGUCUGAUUAGCCAGUUGGCAGGGUAACGGCCUACCAAAGCGACGAUCAGUAGCCGGCCUGAGAGGGUGAACGGCCACAUUGGGACUGAGACACGGCCCAAACUCCUACGGAAGGCAGCAG
rnacentral:rRNA from 1 species